rnacentral:rRNA from 1 species
UACGAAGGGGGCUAGCGUUGCUCGGAAUCACUGGGCGUAAAGGGUGCGUAGGCGGGUCUUUUAAGUCAGGGGUGAAAUCCUGGAGCUCAACUCCAGAACUGCCCUUGAUACUGGAAGGUCUUGAGUUCGGGAGAGGUGAGUGGAACUGCGAGUGUAGAGGUGAAAUUCGUAGAUAUUCGCAAGAACACCAGUGGCGAAGGCGGCUCACUGGCCCGGUACUGACGCUGAGGUGCGAAAGCGAUGGGGAGCAAACAGGGA